rnacentral:rRNA from 1 species
AGUAACACGUGAGUAACCUGCCCUUGACUCUGGGAUAAGCCUGGGAAACUGGGUCUAAUACUGGAUACGACCUUCCCACGCAUGUGGUGUUGGUGGAAAGCUUUUGUGGUUUUGGAUGGACUCGCGGCCUAUCAGCUUGUUGGUGGGGUAAUGGCCUACCAAGGCGACGACGGGUAGCCGGCCUGAGAGGGUGGACGGCCACACUGGGACUGAGACACGGCCCAGACUCCUACGGGAGGCAGCAGUGGGGAAUAUUGCACAAUGGGCGCAAGCCUGAUGCAGCGACGCCGCGUGAGGGAUGAAGGCCUUCGGGUUGUAAACCUCUUUCAGUAGGGAAGAAGCGAAAGUGACGGUACCUGCAGAAGAAGCGCCGGCUAACUACGUGCCAGCAGCCGCGGUAAUACGUAGGGCGCAAGCGUUAUCCGGAAUUAUUGGGCGUAAAGAGCUCGUAGGCGGUUUGUCGCGUCUGCCGUGAAAGUCCGGGGCUUAACUCCGGAUCUGCGGUGGGU